rnacentral:tRNA from 1 species
UCCUCCUUAGCUCAGUUGGUUAGAGCAUCUGACUGUUAAUCAGAGGGUCGUUGGUUCGAGUCCAACAGGAGGAGCAA